rnacentral:lncRNA from 1 species
GAACCAAUCGGAGUUGUUUGGGAAAACCCACGUUAACGCAAAGCAUUUAUCGAUCGAAGUUGACGCAUGUGAAAUAGUGAAAAUAUGGUACGAUUUGACUAGGCUUUUAUUUACAAUUUUCGCCAGAGUCGGAUUUGCGUCCCCGGGAAUCAAUAUUUUUUUGAAGCGUUGAUUUAUCAUGUUUAAUCUUAGUUUAGUCAGGCACACCAAUUUCAUAUUCUGUACAGAUUUGCAGACAAUGAUGGUUAUGAACGUGCAAUGUUAAAAACUUUAUAUAAUGAUGCUUAAGGAUUCAACCAUUGAACUCUAAUCUACUCAGAAUGCCGCAAAUGCAGCAGAAUAGCCUGCCUAUGGAAAAACAAAAACUUGCUUAAAAAUAAUAAAUAAAAAACCACUGCAGCAGUGUUGUUAUUGAUUUAAUUUUUUUUUAAUACAGGCUUUGUUUAUAAAGAACAAUUGUCUUCAUUAUUAUUAUUAUUACUAUUAUUACUUACAGAAGAAAUAAGCAAACUAAUUAUGUUUAAUGCUUAUGCAAAUAUAAAUAAUUUUGUAUUAGUCAGAUUUUUUAGCAAAGUACCAACCAGAAAAUGAAAUCAAGUAUUUAUGUCAGUCUUGGAAUGUAGGCUUACCAUAGUUAUUGAAAUAAAUGUUCUGAAGGAUAUCAUAAUCAAGUGCAGUACCACCAUGUAUAUUUAUAUUCCAUAAUAAUU